UUAAAGCAGGCUUUGUGUUGUCUGAAUUGUUCUAUGUUUUGUGUUAAUGUGCUUUACAAAUUCACGUGCAGAUUUUGAUGUGAAUACUAAAGCAUGCACAUCCAAAAAUCCUGCAGAAGGUAAAGGUGAGAAUUAUGUAUAACUGAGGCACUGAAAUGAGGUUAAUCUUGUACUCGCUACGUGGUUCAGAUUUCAGUAACAAUAUGUGGAAUGAUUAAACUUAUAAUGGGGCAAAAUGUGAAGGCUCUAAUUAAAGCAGGCUGAAUCUCUGUUGCAUGUUCUUACUAGUCAUGAGCUUGAGGAAGGAGGAGAAAGGUGAAGCUGUAGAUGAACGGAUUAGAUGCAUAUGUUGUUUCUAUAUAUAUAUGCAGCUUUAAUCCAGUGUCAUGAUAGCAUUAUGGACUGGCUAAUGAUGAUAGAAUGCAGUAAGUGGUAAUCUUGCUAACUGAUCUGUGUUAUGAUAAACUGAUCUCACUAAGAGCUUCCUUAGAUCCUUUUCCGUGUGUGAACAUGGGGAGACUGGGAAUGCUUUAGCAAGAGUUGCUUGCUGCAAAUAGAGCCAGCUUUAAGCCAGUGAAGUCACAUUGGUGAUACCCUACUGUGAGGAAAGGAUCUAAUCUAAAGACUCUAAAUAAACUGGAGUUGUUAAAUACCUUCAUGUGAUGAAAGGAGAAAGAAGCAACUUGAACAGUGUUGAACACACUGAAGGAUUUGGGUCACAAAAUGUGAAGAAAACAAAGUACAUAAGGGCUCCACUAGUUCAAUAUACUCCAGAGUCCUAAAUUCAGCUUGAAGAGACAUUAUCUGUUUUGGCCAAGGUUGCCACUGUUAGCAACUCAUAUGUAACUUACUACUUGUUCUCUUUUGCGUUCACAUAGACUGAACAGUUGAAUCCUGCUUUCCUAAACCCCACACCUAUGGGAAAGCUGACUGAAAGAGGCUCUCCAAUUUGAAAAGGAAAAAAACACCUCUCUCUUAUGGAUUAACUAAAAUUCUUCCUGAAUAGUUUUUACGUUGGCCAUUGACAAGAAAGAAAUAAAUAUCCUGAGUUCGAGUAAAAGCCAGGAAACAAAAUCCAGCACAAGAUGGACGUGAGCUAUGACCAGCAUGGCCUCUGUUAUCAGUAUCCUGUACCAAAUUCUCUCUACCUUAUAGCAGACUGAAUGCUAGGAAGAGAAGUUGUGCUGGGAAAGGAGGAGGAAGUCUCCUCUACAUUCAUGCAAGUAAGUGAUUUCUUUAAAAACUCCUUCUCUUUCCCAAAGGUACUACC